AUACGGCCAUAUUCUGUUGAAACACCGGUCCCCGUAUGAUCACCGAAGUUAAGCAACGUCGAGACUGAUCAGUUUCUGGAGAAGUAACCGCUUGGGAAUACCAGGUACUUGUA